rnacentral:rRNA from 1 species
UACGGAAGGGGCAAGCGUUGUUCGGAAUCAUUGGGCGUAAAGGGCGCGUAGGUGGUUCUGUAUGUCUACCGUGAAAGCGUACGGCUCAACCGUAUUUUGUCGGUGGAAACUGCAGGACUUGAGGCUGGGAGGGGCUGGUGGAAUUCCCUGUGUAGCGGUGAAAUGCGUAGAGAUGGGGGGGAACACUCGUGGCGAAGGCGGCCAGCUAGACCAGUUCUGACACUGAGGCGCGACAGCGUGGGGAGCAAACAGG